CUUCAGCUUUGGCCAACAGAGACGUCAGCCUUGGCAAGGCCUCUGGACAGUGGUCAGACUCACUGCUGAUGGUGUUCUGUUCCUACUCUGGGCUCAUCCAUUAUGCAGGAGGGUGGACAGAGUACCAGGCCUGCUUGAUGCAAGCCUUCAAUGAUAUCACCCCAAAGGGCUCAGAGGCUACAGCCGGGUAAAGAGGAUGAGCGCAGCACGGGGACAGAGGAGGCUGAAGUAGCAGAACAGAAAGGCCAGGCCCACGGUGUGACAGACAAGCCCAUAUGGCGCUGGAUUGAGGAAGAAAACCGAAACAAAGGAAAGAAAUGUAGGAGAUCGUUCCGAUUCCAGUUCAACUCUGGCCUCGCCUUUCCUAGCUCAUGGCUUAGGACUCUCCCCAUCCUCCCUCCAUCCUCACUCUGGGACAGGCAUGGCCCUGCUCUUUGUACUAGGCUGCAUCUUCUUCCCCUUGAGCUUCACUCUCCUCUGUUGGAGCCUGCAGCACCACGCCAACGUGCAGAUGGAGAGACCACAGGCUGUUUUG